UACGUAGGUGGCAAGCGUUGCUCGGAAUUAUUGGGCGUAAAGGGCGCGUAGGCGGUUUGUUAAGUCAGCUGUGAAAGCCCGGGGCUCAGCCCCGGAGAGUCGACUGAUACUGGCAGACUAGAGUACGGAAGAGGUAGCUGGAAUUCCCGGUGUAGCGGUGAAAUGCGUAGAUAUGGGAGGAACACCGGUGGCGAAAGCGACUUCCUGGAUCAAUACUGACGCUCAUGUGCGAAAGCGUGGGGAGCAACAGG
rnacentral:rRNA from 1 species